GCGGCCGUGGUGGAAAUGGCAGACACACGCGCUUGAGGGGCGCGCGCCUCGUGCAUCCGAGUUCAAGUCUCGGCGGCCGCACCA
rnacentral:tRNA from 4 species